rnacentral:misc_RNA from 1 species
GUGAGUCAUCGAAUCUUUGAACGCACCUUGCACCCUUUGGUAUUCCGAAGGGUACACCCGUUUGAGUGUCAUUGUAAUCUCACUUCUAUACCUUUUGGUGUUAGAAUGUGGACUUGGACGUCUGCCGUGUCACAGCGGCUCGUCUUAAAUGCCUGAGUGUACCCCGCUUUGCGGCGUAUUCGGUGUGAUAAACAUUUCACCGGAGUUUGGUCUCUGACCGCGCUUUAGCAAUUGGUGGGCUCUAUGCUUUCAAACCGUCUGUAAUGGACAAUCUUUGACAAUUUGACCUCAAAUCGGGCG